ensembl:lncRNA
GGAUGGCAAUUUCGCCUAUAAAUCCGCAUUUGAGUCCAUUUUUGUGCCCUGAGGCCCAUUUCCGUGACCCGGGAUUGGGAUUACGGGGUCGGGAUUAUGGGAUUAUGGGGUCGGGAUUGGGAUUAUGGGAUUACAGAACGGGAUUAUGAUAUUAUGGGAUGGCAUUUCCUCUACGAGCUCCAGAUUUGAGUCCAUUUUUGUGCCCUGAGGCCCAUUUCCGUGACCCGGGAUUGGGAUUACGGGGUCGGGAUUAUGGGAUUAUGGGGUCGGGAUUGGGAUUAUGGGAUUACAGGGUGGGAUUAUGAUAUUAUGGGAUGGCAUUUCCUCUACGAGCUCCAGAUUUGAGUCCAUUUUUGUGCCCUGAGGCCGAUUUCUGUGGCCCGAAACGGGGGGAAACGAACCACGGGGUCGGGAUGAUGGGGCCGGGAUUGGGAUUAUGGGGUCGGGAUUGGGAUUAUGGGAUUACAGAAUGGGAUUGUGGUAUUAUGGGAUUGGCAUUUUGUCCAUAAGCUCCGCAUAUGAGUCCAAUUUUUGUGCCCUGAGGCCCAUUUCCGUGACCUGGGAUUGGGAUUAUGGGGUCGGCAUCGGGAUUAUGGGGUCAAAACUGGGAUUAUGGGAUUACAGGGUGGGAUUAUGGUAUUAUGGGAUGGCAUUUCCUCGACGAGCUCCAGAUUUGAGUCCAUUUUUGUGCCCUGAGGCCGAUUUCUGUGGCCCGAAACCGGGGGAAACGAACCACGGGUCGGACUUAUGGGGUUCGAGAUUAUGGAUUAUGGGUCGGAUGGGAUUAUGGGAUUACAGAACGGGAUUAUGAUAUUAUGGGAUGGCAUUUCCUCUACGAGCUCCAGAUUUGAGUCCAUUUUUGUGCCCUGAGGCCGAUUUCUGUGGCCCGAAACGGGGGGAAAACGAACCACGGGGUCGGGAUUAUGGGGUCGCGAUUGGGAUUAUGGGGUCGGGAUUGGGAUUAUGGGAUUACAGGGUGGGAUUGUGGUAUUAUGGGAUGGCAUUUUGUCCAUAAACUCCGCAUUUGAGUCCAUUUUUGUGCCCUGAGGCCCAUUUCCGUGACCCGGGAUCGGGAUUAUGGGGUCGAGAUUAUGGGAUUAUGGGGUCGGGAUUGGGAUUAUGGGAUUACAGAACGGGAUUAUGAUAUUAUGGGAUGGCAUUUCCUCAACGAGCUCCAGAUUUGAGUCCAUUUUUGUGCCCUGAGGCCGAUUUCUGUGGCCCGAAACGGGGGGAAACGAACCACGGGGUCGGGAUGAUGGGGCCGGGAUUGGGAUUAGCGGG